rnacentral:rRNA from 1 species
GACGAAGGGGGCUAGCGUUGUUCGGAAUUACUGGGCGUAAAGCGCGUGUAGGCGGUUGCCCAAGUCGGGUGUGAAAGCCUUGAGCUCAACUCAAGAAAUGCACUCGGUACUGGGUGACUAGAGGACCGGAGAGGAUAGUGGAAUUCCCAGUGUAGUGGUGAAAUAACGUAGAGAUUGGGAAGAACACCAGUGGCGAAGGCGGCUAUCUGGACGGUUUCUGACGCUAAGACGCGAAAGCGUGGGGAGCAAACAGG